rnacentral:rRNA from 1 species
CAGCCGCCGCGGUAAUACGAAGGGGGCUAGCGUUGUUCGGAUUUACUGGGCGUAAAGGGCGCGUAGGCGGACUGAUAAGUCAGGGGUGAAAUCCCAAGGCUCAACCUUGGAACUGCCUUUGAUACUGUUUGUCUUGAGUUCGAGAGAGGUAAGUGGAACUGCGAGUGUGGAGGUGAAAUUCGUAGAUAUUCGCAAGAACACCAGUGGCGAAGGCGGCUCACUGGCCCGGUACUGACGCUGAGGCACGAAAGCGUGGGGAGCAAACAGGAUUAGAUACCCCAGUAGUCCCUGUCUCUUAUAC